UCACUUGACGCAGAAAACCCCCACAAAAUCAUGCACAUCAAGAGUUUUAAAUCUUUGUGUUCACUUUAAGAACACUCCUAGACCAUGACAGGUGUGUGUAUCUGGAAAGCCACCAAGUGUCUGAAAGGUGUAUCUUAACCGAAGCAAUGUGUGUCAUUCUGUCUUAUGAUGGUGGAGUUGAGAGGUGUGCCCAGGCCAACAGUAGGGCUGGAUGCAGGGUCAGUGGCUCCAAAAGAGUGUGGAAUUUUUGCCACAGUUGCUUAAAAAUGCAGAGAGUAAUGCUGAACUUAAGGGUUUAGAUAUAAAUUCUCUGGUCAAUGAACAUCUCUAGGUGAACAAAGUACCCAAGAUAUUAGAUACCAAGGAUCCAAAAGAGUAUGGAAUUUUUGCCACACCUGCUUAAAAAUGCAGAGAGUAAUGCUGAACUUAAGGGUUUAGAUGUAAAUUCUCUGGUCAACGAACAUGUCUAGGUGAACAAAGUACCCAAGAUAUUGGCACCACCAUAUUUACAGAACUCACGGUGGGAUUAACCCAUACAUGAACUCCCAUGAGGUGAUCCUUGCUGAAGAAAAAAAGAAAAUUUGUUCCCAAGCCAGAAAAGGAGGUUGCACAGAAGAAAAUGUAUCCCAGAAGAAUCUGAAGAAACAAACAUUUACGGCGUGGG
rnacentral:lncRNA from 1 species